GGAAGGUGGGGAUGACGUCAAGUCAUCAUGGCCCUUACGGCCUGGGCUACACACGUGCUACAAUGGUCGGUACAAAGGGUUGCCAAGCCGCGAGGUGGAGCUAAUCCCAUAAAACCGAUCGUAGUCCGGAUCGCAGUCUGCAACUCGACUGCGUGAAGUCGGAAUCGCUAGUAAUCGUGAAUCAGAAUGUCACGGUGAAUACGUUCCCGGGCCUU
rnacentral:rRNA from 1 species